rnacentral:rRNA from 1 species
AUUGAACGCUGGCGGCAGGCCUAACACAUGCAAGUCGAGCGAGCGGCGGACGGGUGAGUAAUGUCUGUGAAACUGCCUGAUGGAGGGGGAUAACUACUGGAAACGCUAGCUAAUCCCGCAUACCAUCAGCUCUGCCCCGGUUGGAUUAGCUAGUCGGUGGGGGAACGGCUCACCUAGGCGACGAUCCCUAGCUGGUCUGAGAGGAUGACCAGCAAAACUGGAACUGAGACACGGUCCAGACUCCUACGGGAGGCAGCAGUGGGGAAUAUUGCACAAUGGGCGAAAGCCUGAUGCAGCCAUGCCGCGUGUGUGAAGAAGGCCUUCGGGUUGGAAAGCACUUUAAGUGGGGAGGCGGUACCCGCAGAAGAAGCACCGGCUAACUCCGUGCCAGCAGCCGCGGUAAUUC